GGGUUCAUUCCCUGGGGCAUGGCUUACGGGCGCCAAUGGGUGCCGAGCCGGUGGUCGGUGGCGGUCGCGUGCGACACGUGCCGCACUCGCAGGUUCGGUCCUGCCGGUGCUCCCAUGCCCGCGCUCGGUGUAAGAGCUGGUCAUCUAUCCGACCCGUCUUGAAACACGGACCAAGGAGUUUAUCGUGUGCGCAAGCCAUUGGGCUCAGAAACCCAAAGGCGCAAUGAAAGUGAACAAUGUCCUCGCAAGAGGCAGACGUGCGAUCCCCGGCGCCUCGGUGCCGGGGCGCAGCAUGGCCCCAUCCCGACUGCUUGCAGUGGGGUGGCGGAAGAGCGUGCGCGGUGAGACCCGAAAGAUGGUGAACUAUUCCUGAGCAGGAUGAAGCCAGAGGAAACUCUGGUGGAAGUCCGAAGCGAUUCUGACGUGCAAAUCGAUCGUCUGACUGG
rnacentral:rRNA from 1 species